GUGCCAGCAGCCGCGGUAAUACCGGCAGCUCAAGUGAUGUCCCAUAUUAUUGGGCCUAAAGCGUCUGUAGCUGGCCGGCCAAGUCUCCCGGGAAAUCCACCCGCCCAACGGGUGGGCGUCCGGUAGAAACUGGCCGGCUUGGAACCGGAAGGCUCAGAGAGUACGUCCGGGGUAGGAGUGAAAUCCCGUAAUCCCGGACGGACUACCGAUGGCGAAAGCACUCGGAGAAGACGGCUGCGACAGUGAGGGACGAGAGCUCGGGUCUCAAACCGGAUUAGAAACCCCAGUAGUCC
rnacentral:rRNA from 1 species